rnacentral:snoRNA from 1 species
CUGCACUGUUCAUAACCUGUUGCUUGUGUGUUUCUGGCUUUGGGUUCCAUUCCAGUGCUACACUAAAACCUAAUUAACCAUAGACUGUAGGCUGCCACAUAGCCUGGUCUUGGCACAGUUAGGAACAUGA